rnacentral:misc_RNA from 1 species
GGAAGGAUCAUUACUGCUUGCUUAUGACUUCUGUGUGGGAGACUGCACAGUUGUCGGGCUCGCUACCCUUGUCUAAACAUAACCUUUCGUUAUUUCCCUCGGCAGGGUUACCUGCCGCUGGGCUUUAUCAAACCUCUUGUUUAAGUAUUACACUCUGAACUACACAAUAAUCACAACUUUUAACAAUGGAUCUCUUGGUUCUGGCAUCGAUGAAGAACGCAGCGAAAUGCGAUAAGUAGUGUGAAUUGCAGACUUUAGUGAAUCAUCGAAUCUUUGAACGCACAUUGCGCCCUUUGGUAUUCCACUGGGCAUGCCUGUUCGAGCGUCAUUUACACUCUCAAGCACUGCUUGGUGUUGGGUGUUUGUCUGUAUUUGCGCAGACUCACCUUAAAUGUAUUGGCGGCAGCACCUCUAGCUUCUUGCGCAGCACAUUGCGGUAGAAGGAGCUGGUAGUAGGUCUGCAACCACAAAGACAUCUUCAGUUUGACCUCGAAUCAGGUAGGGAUACCCGCUGAACUUAAGCAUAUCAAUAAGCGGAGGAAAAGAAACCAACAGGGAUUGCCCUAGUAACGGCGAGUGAAGCGGCAAAAGCUCAAAUUUGAAAUCGGGCUUCUUUGAGGUCCGAGUUGUAAUUUGUAGAGGGUGCUUUGGUGUUGGCAGCGGUCUAAGUUCCUUGGAACAGGACGUCGCAGAGGGUGAGAAUCCCGUAUGUGGUCGCCUGCCUUCGCCGUGUAAAGCCCCUUCAACGAGUCGAGUUGUUUGGGAAUGCAGCUCUAAAUGGGAGGUAAAUUUCUCCUAAAGCUAAAUACUGGCCAGAGACCGAUAGCGCACAAGUAGAGUGAUCGAAAGAUGAAAAGCACUUUGGAAAGAGAGUCAAACAGCACGUGAAAUUGUUAAAAGGGAAGCGCUUGCAGCCAGACGUGCCUAUAGUCGUUCUCUUCUGUAGGCAGGCCAGCAUCAGUUUGGGCGAUUGGAUAAAGACCUCUGUCAUGUAUCACCCUUCGGGGUGGCCUUAUAGGGGAGGUGUCAUGCAAUCAGCCUGGACUGAGGUCCGCGCAUCUGCUAGGAUGCUGGCGUAAUGGCUGUAAGCGGCCCGUCUUGAAACACGGACCAAGGAGUCUAACAUCUAUGCGAGUGUUUGGGUGUCAAGCCCGAGCGCGCAAUGAAAGUGAACGGAGGUAGGAACCCUUUGGGUGCACUAUCGACCGAUCCUGAUGUCUUCGGAUGGAUUUGAGUAAGAGCAUAGCUGUUGGGACCCGAAAGAUGGUGAACUAUGCUUGAAUAGGGUGAAGCCAGAGGAAACUCUGGUGGAGGCUCGCAGCGGUUCUGACGUGCAAAUCGAUCGUCAAAUUUGGGCAUAGGGGCGAAAGACUAAUCGAACUAUCUAGUAGCUGGUUCCUGC